ensembl:snRNA U6 U6 spliceosomal RNA
GUGCUCGCUUCGGCAGCACAUAUAUUAAAGUUGGAAUGAUACAGAGAAUAUUAGGAUGGCCCCUGCGCAAGGAUGACACUUAAAUUCGUGAAGCGUUCCAUAUUAAA